GGUUCCGGUUGGAGCGAGCGGCCGCAUCUACACUUCGGUCCGCAGGAAAUGCUGCUAGCUAGCUAGCCAACAGCUAGCCAACCUCUACCGAAUUGAACUCCAACUACCCGGUCAACAUUCCGCGUCGUUCCACAGACCAUACAAACGCUCCACACCGCGUGGCCGCGGCCACCCUAAUCUGGUGGUCCCAGCGCGCACGACCCACGUGGAGUUCCUGGUCUCCGGUAGCCUCUGGAACUGCCGAUCUGCGGCCAACAAGGCAGAGUUCAUCUCAGCCUAUGCCUCCCUCCAGUCCCUCGACUUCCUGGCACUGACGGAAACAUGGAUCACCACAGAUAACACUGCUACUCCUACUGCUCUCUCUUCGUCCGCCCACGUGUUCUCGCACACCCCGAGAGCUUCUGGUCAGCGGGGUGGUGGCACCGGGAUCCUCAUCUCUCCCAAGUGGUCAUUCUCUCUCUCUCCCCUUACCCAUCUAUCUAUCGCCUCCUUUGAAUUCCAU